rnacentral:rRNA from 1 species
UUGAACGCUGGCGGCAGGCCUAACACAUGCAAGUCGAGCGGUAGCACAGAGAGCUUGCUCUCGGGUGACGAGCGGCGGACGGGUGAGUAAUGUCUGGGAAACUGCCUGAUGGAGGGGGAUAACUACUGGAAACGGUAGCUAAUACCGCAUAAUGUCGCAAGACCAAAGUGGGGGACCUUCGGGCCUCAUGCCAUCAGAUGUGCCCAGAUGGGAUUAGCUAGUAGGUGGGGUAACGGCUCACCUAGGCGACGAUCCCUAGCUGGUCUGAGAGGAUGACCAGCCACACUGGAACUGAGACACGGUCCAGACUCCUACGGGAGGCAGCAGUGGGGAAUAUUGCACAAUGGGCGCAAGCCUGAUGCAGCCAUGCCGCGUGUGUGAAGAAGGCCUUCGGGUUGUAAAGCACUUUCAGCGGGGAGGAAGGCGGUGAGGUUAAUAACCUCAUCGAUUGACGUUACCCGCAGAAGAAGCACCGGCUAACUCCGUGCCAGCAGCCGCGGUAAUACGGAGGGUGCAAGCGUUAAUCGGAAUUACUGGGCGUAAAGCGCACGCAGGCGGUCUGUCAAGUCGGAUGUGAAAUCCCCGGGCUCAACCUGGGAACUGCAUUCGAAACUGGCAGGCUAGAGUCUUGUAGAGGGGGGUAGAAUUCCAGGUGUAGCGGUGAAAUGCGUAGAGAUCUGGAGGAAUACCGGUGGCGAAGGCGGCCCCCUGGACAAAGACUGACGCUCAGGUGCGAAAGCGUGGGGAGCAAACAGGAUUAGAUACCCUGGUAGUCCACGCCGUAAACGAUGUCGAUUUGGAGGUUGUGCCCUUGAGGCGUGGCUUCCGGAGCUAACGCGUUAAAUCGACCGCCUGGGGAGUACGGCCGCAAGGUUAAAACUCAAAUGAAUUGACGGGGGCCCGCACCAGCGGUGGAGCAUGUGGUUUAAUUCGAUGCAACGCGAAGAACCUUACCUGGUCUUGACAUCCACAGAACUUUCCAGAGAUGGAUUGGUGCCUUCGGGAACUGUGAGACAGGUGCUGCAUGGCUGUCGUCAGCUCGUGUUGUGAAAUGUUGGGUUAAGUCCCGCAACGAGCGCAACCCUUAUCCUUUGUUGCCAGCGGUUAGGCCGGGAACUCAAAGGAGACUGCCAGUGAUAAACUGGAGGAAGGUGGGGAUGACGUCAAGUCAUCAUGGCCCUUACGACCAGGGCUACACACGUGCUACAAUGGCAUAUACAAAGAGAAGCGACCUCGCGAGAGCAAGCGGACCUCAUAAAGUAUGUCGUAGUCCGGAUUGGAGUCUGCAACUCGACUCCAUGAAGUCGGAAUCGCUAGUAAUCGUAGAUCAGAAUGCUACGGUGAAUACGUUCCCGGGCCUUGUACACACCGCCCGUCACACCAUGGGAGUGGGUUGCAAAAGAAGUAGGUAGCUUAACCUUCGGGAGGGCGCUUACCACUUUGUGAUUCAUGACUGGGGUG